rnacentral:rRNA from 1 species
AGAGUUUGAUCCUGGCUCAGGAUGAACGCUGACGGCGUGCCUAAUACAUGCAAGUCGAGCGAACGUCAUAGAAGCUUGCUUCUAUGACGUUAGCGGCGGACGGGUGAGUAACACGUGGGCAACCUGCCUGUAAGACUGGGAUAACUUCGGGAAACCGAAGCUAAUACCGGAUAGGAUCUUCUCCUUCAUGGGAGAUGAUUGAAAGAUGGUUUCGGCUAUCACUUACAGAUGGGCCCGCGGUGCAUUAGCUAGUUGGUGAGGUAACGGCUCACCAAGGCAACGAUGCAUAGCCGACCUGAGAGGGUGAUCGGCCACACUGGGACUGAGACACGGCCCAGACUCCUACGGGAGGCAGCAGUAGGGAAUCUUCCGCAAUGGACGAAAGUCUGACGGAGCAACGCCGCGUGAGUGAUGAAGGCUUUCGGGUCGUAAAACUCUGUUGUUAGGGAAGAACAAGUACGAGAGUAACUGCUCGUACCUUGACGGUACCUAACCAGAAAGCCACGGCUAACUACGUGCCAGCAGCCGCGGUAAUACGUAGGUGGCAAGCGUUAUCCGGAAUUAUUGGGCGUAAAGCGCGCGCAGGCGGUUUCUUAAGUCUGAUGUGAAAGCCCACGGCUCAACCGUGGAGGGUCAUUGGAACUGGGGAA